GAGGGUAUAGCUCAGUGGUAGAGUGUGUGCCUAGCAUGCACAAAGUCCCAGGUUCGAUCCCCGGUACCUCCA
rfam:Camelus ferus unplaced genomic scaffold scaffold1599, whole genome shotgun sequence.